GAGCAGCAGUGGGGAUCUUAGGCGAGCGGCCGUGCGUAAUCCUGCAAAACGGGCGCAAUCAUGAACCCGUCCUGGUGGUUAAGUGCUGUUGGUCUUAGAAUUGUCGCGCUCUUUCACCCGUGGCGUUAAUGACGGUACCCGAAGAAUAAGCCCCGGCUAACUUCGUGCCAGCAGCCGCGGUAAUACGUAGGGGGCUAGCGUUGUUCGGAAUUACUGGGCGUAAAGCGUGAUGUAGGCGGUUUUGUAAGUCAGGGGUGAAAUCCCCCGAGCUCAACCUCGGAAUGUGCGUUUGUAUACUGGGUAUCUUGAGUGAUGUCAGAGGUGGAGUGGAAUUCCGAAGUGUAGCGAGUGAAAUUCGUAGAUAUUUGGAGGAACACCAGUGGCGCAAGGCGAGCUCCCUGGUCCAUUACUGACGCUCAUGCGCGAAAGCGUGGGGAGCAAACAGAUUAGAUACCCUGGUAGUCCACGCCGUAACGUUGACUGUUAACCGUCGGGCAUCAUUCUCUCGGUGCUCACCUAAGACGACAACUGCCGCCCGGGGCACCCGCGUCGCUUAAGCCC
rnacentral:rRNA from 1 species